rnacentral:rRNA from 1 species
GAUGAACGCUGGCGGCGUGCCUAAUACAUGCAAGUCGAGCGAACAGACGAGGAGCUUGCUCCUCUGACGUUAGCGGCGGACGGGUGAGUAACACGUGGAUAACCUACCUAUAAGACUGGGAUAACUUCGGGAAACCGGAGCUAAUACCGGAUAAUAUAUUGAACCGCAUGGUUCAAUAGUGAAAGACGGUUUUGCUGUCACUUAUAGAUGGAUCCGCGCCGCAUUAGCUAGUUGGUAAGGUAACGGCUUACCAAGGCAACGAUGCGUAGCCGACCUGAGAGGGUGCUCGGCCACCCUGGAACUGAGACACGGUCCAGACUCCUACGGGAGGCAGCAGUAGGGAAUCUUCCGCAAUGGGCGAAAGCCUGACGGAGCAACGCCGCGUGAGUGAUGAAGGUCUUCGGAUCGUAAAACUCUGUUAUUAGGGAAGAACAAAUGUGUAAGUAACUAUGCACGUCUUGACGGUACCUAAUCAGAAAGCCACGGCUAACUACGUG